UACGAGAGGUGCAAGCGUUAUUCGGAAUCAUUGGGCGUAAAGGGUGUGUAGGUGGCGCCGUAAGUCGGGUGUGAAAUUUCGGAGCUUAACUCCGAAACUGCAUUCGAUACUGCGGUGCUUGAGGACUGGAGAGGAGACUGGAAUUCAUGGUGUAGCAGUGAAAUGCGUAGAGAUCAUGAGGAAGACCAGUGGCGAAAGGCGGGGUCUCUGGACAGUUCCUGACACUGAGACACGAAGGCCAGGGGAGCAAACGGG
rnacentral:rRNA from 1 species